UCGUCUAUAUGCGAGUGUAAGGGUGUCAAACCCCUGCGCGUAAUGAAAGUGAACGGAGGUGAGAGCUUCGGCGCAUCAUCGACCGAUCCUGAUGUUCUCGGAUGGAUUUGAGUAGGAGCAUAUUGGGCCGGACCCGAAAGAAGGUGAACUAUGCCUGUGUAGGGUAAAGCCAGAGGAAACUCUGGUGGAGGCUCGCAGCGGUUCUGACGUGCAAAUCGAUCGUCAAACAUGGGCAUGGGGGCGAAAGACUAAUCGAACCUUCUAGUAGCUGGUUUCAGCCGAAGUUUCCCUCAGGAUAGCAGUGUUGAAUGUCUCAGUUUUAUGAGGUAAAGCGAAUGAUUAGGGACUCGGGGGCGCUAUUUAGCCUUCAUCCAUUCUCAAACUUUAAAUAUGUAAGAAGCCCUUGUUACUUAGCUGAACGUGGGCCUUCGAAUGUAUCAACACUAGUGGGCCAUUUUUGGUAAGCAGAACUGGCGAUGCGGGAUGAACCGAUCGCGGGGAUAAGGUGCCGGAGUGGACGCUCAUCAGACACCACAAAAGGUGUUAUCACAUCUAGACAGCAGGACGGUGGCCAUGGAAGUCGGAACCCGCUAAGGACUGUGUAACAACUCACCUGCCGAAUGUGAUAGCCCUGAAAAUGGAUGGCGCUCAAGCGUCCCACCCAUACCCCGCCCUCAGGGUAGACACGAUGCCCUGAGGAGUAGGCUGACGUGGGGGUCAGUGACGAAGCCCAGGGCGUGAGCCCGGGUCGAACGGCCCCUAGUG
rnacentral:rRNA from 1 species